rnacentral:misc_RNA from 1 species
AACUGAUACUACCUGCGGGAACCUGCGGAGGGAUCAUUACUGAGUGAGGGCCCCUCGGGGUCCAACCUCCCACCCGUGUUUAACGAACCUUUGUUGCUUCGGCGGGCCCGCCUCACGGCCGCCGGGGGGCUCCUGCCCCCGGGCCCGCGCCCGCCGAAGCCCCCCCUUGAACGCUGUCUGAAGUUUGCAGUCUGAGAAACUAGCUAAAUUAGUUAAAACUUUUAGCAAUGGAUCUCUAGA